AUGAACGCUAGCGGCAGGCUUAACACAUGCAAGUCGAGGGGCAGCACGAGGUAGCAAUACUUUGGUGGCGACCGGCGCACGGGUGCGUAACGCGUAUGCAACCUACCUUUAACAGGGGCAUAACACUGAGAAAUUGGUACUAAUUCCCCAUAACAUUCGAGAAGGCAUCUUCUUGGGUUAAAAACUCCGGUGGUUAAAGAUGGGCAUGCGUUGUAUUAGCUAGUUGGUGAGGUAACGGCUCACCAAGGCAACGAUACAUAGGGGGACUGAGAGGUUAACCCCCCACAUUGGUACUGAGACACGGACCAAACUCCUACGGGAGGCAGCAGUGAGGAAUAUUGGUCAAUGGACGCAAGUCUGAACCAGCCAUGCCGCGUGCAGGAAGACGGCUCUAUGAGUUGUAAACUGCUUUUGUACUAGGGUAAACGCUUCUACGUGUAGGAGCCUGAAAGUAUAGUACGAAUAAGGAUCGGCUAACUCCGUGCCAGCAGCCGCGGUAAUACGGAGGAUCCAAGCGUUAUCCGGAUUUAUUGGGUUUAAAGGGUGCGUAGGCGGUUUGAUAAGUUAGAGGUGAAAUACCGGGGCUCAACUCCGGAACUGCCUCUAAUACUGUUGAACUAGAGAGUAGUUGCGGUAGGCGGAAUGUAUGGUGUAGCGGUGAAAUGCUUAGAGAUCAUACAGAACACCGAUUGCGAAGGCAGCUUACCAAACUAUAUCUGACGUUGAGGCACGAAAGCGUGGGGAGCAAACAGGAUUAGAUACCCUGGUAGUCCACGCAGUAAACGAUGAUAACUCGUUGUCGGCGAUACACAGUCGGUGACUAAGCGAAAGCGAUAAGUUAUCCACCUGGGGAGUACGUUCGCAAGAAUGAAACUCAAAGGAAUUGACGGGGGCCCGCACAAGCGGAGGAACAUGUGGUUUAAUUCGAUGAUACGCGAGGAACCUUACCCGGGCUCAAACGCACGACGGCGGCACGUGAAAGCGUGCUUACCUACGGGACGUUGUGCGAGGUGCUGCAUGGUUGUCGUCAGCUCGUGCCGUGAGGUGUCGGGUUAAGUCCCAUAACGAGCGCAACCCCUACCGUUAGUUGCCAUCAGGUCAAGCUGGGCACUCUGGCGGGACUGCCGGUGUAAGCCGAGAGGAAGGUGGGGAUGACGUCAAAUCAGCACGGCCCUUACGUCCGGGGCUACACACGUGUUACAAUGGUAGGUACAGAGGGCCGCUACCCCGCGAGGGGAUGCCAAUCUCGAAAGCCUAUCUCAGUUCGGAUCGGAGGCUGAAACCCGCCUCCGUGAAGUUGGAUUCGCUAGUAAUCGCGCAUCAGCCAUGGCGCGGUGAAUACGUUCCCGGGCCUUGUACACACCGCCCGUCAAGCCAUGGAAGCUGGGGGUGCCUGAAGUUCGUGACCGCAAGGAGCGACCUAGGGCAAAACCGGUGACUGGGGCU
rnacentral:rRNA from 1 species